CUUUUACAAUGAAGAGUUUGAUCCUGGCUCAGGAUGAACGCUAGCUACAGGCUUAACACAUGCAAGUCGAGGGGCAGCAUUUUAGUUUGCUUGCAAACUGAAGAUGGCGACCGGCGCACGGGUGAGUAACACGUAUCCAACCUGCCGAUAACUCCGGAAUAGCCUUUCGAAAGAAAGAUUAAUACCGGAUAGCAUACGAAUAUCGCAUGAUAUUUUUAUUAAAGAAUUUCGGUUAUCGAUGGGGAUGCGUUCCAUUAGUUUGUUGGCGGGGUAACGGCCCACCAAGACUACGAUGGAUAGGGGUUCUGAGAGGAAGGUCCCCCACAUUGGAACUGAGACACGGUCCAAACUCCUACGGGAGGCAGCAGUGAGGAAUAUUGGUCAAUGGGCGAGAGCCUGAACCAGCCAAGUAGCGUGAAGGAUGAAGGCUCUAUGGGUCGUAAACUUCUUUUAUAUGGGAAUAAAGUUUUCCACGUGUGGAAUUUUGUAUGUACCAUAUGAAUAAGGAUCGGCUAACUCCGUGCCAGCAGCCGCGGUAAUACGGAGGAUCCGAGCGUUAUCCGGAUUUAUUGGGUUUAAAGGGAGCGUAGGUGGAUUGUUAAGUCAGUUGUGAAAGUUUGCGGCUCAACCGUAAAAUUGCAGUUGAAACUGGCAGUCUUGAGUACAGUAGAGGUGGGCGGAAUUCGUGGUGUAGCGGUGAAAUGCUUAGAUAUCACGAAGAACUCCGAUUGCGAAGGCAGCUCACUAGACUGUCACUGACACUGAUGCUCGAAAGUGUGGGUAUCAAACAGGAUUAGAUACCCUGGUAGUCCACACAGUAAACGAUGAAUACUCGCUGUUUGCGAUAUACAGUAAGCGGCCAAGCGAAAGCAUUAAGUAUUCCACCUGGGGAGUACGCCGGCAACGGUGAAACUCAAAGGAAUUGACGGGGGCCCGCACAAGCGGAGGAACAUGUGGUUUAAUUCGAUGAUACGCGAGGAACCUUACCCGGGCUUAAAUUGCAACAGAAUAUAUUGGAAACAGUAUAGCCGUAAGGCUGUUGUGAAGGUGCUGCAUGGUUGUCGUCAGCUCGUGCCGUGAGGUGUCGGCUUAAGUGCCAUAACGAGCGCAACCCUUAUCUUUAGUUACUAACAGGUUAUGCUGAGGACUCUAGAGAGACUGCCGUCGUAAGAUGUGAGGAAGGUGGGGAUGACGUCAAAUCAGCACGGCCCUUACGUCCGGGGCUACACACGUGUUACAAUGGGGGGUACAGAAGGCGGCUACACGGUGACGUGAUGCUAAUCCCAAAAACCUCUCUCAGUUCGGAUCGAAGUCUGCAACCCGACUUCGUGAAGCUGGAUUCGCUAGUAAUCGCGCAUCAGCCAUGGCGCGGUGAAUACGUUCCCGGGCCUUGUACACACCGCCCGUCAAGCCAUGAAAGCCGGGGGUACCUGAAGUACGUAACCGCAAGGAGCGUCCUAGGGUAAAACUGGUAAUUGGGGCUAAGUCGUAACAAGGUAGCCGUACCGGAAGGUGCGGCUGGAACACCUCCUUUCU
rnacentral:rRNA from 1 species